CUGGCCUGCCGGUGUACGUACCUUGGACGCUUUUGAUGCGCGUGUCUCCAGGAAGGGUGAGAAGAAAAAAGUGCCGACGGUGUGGGGUCGCCGUCCCCGACAAAGAUUCUUUUCGUAUCGUUAUAUCACAUACGCGAUGUCAUUAGAACAACUGCUGUUCUGAGAAAGUCGCCUGAGUGGCGAUGCAACGACACUUCUCGUGGCACUCGAGUGCUAUUCUGAACACGGGACAGAACUGUCAAGAAAACUAAAAGCGUCGAUUCUAUGAACUGUUACAACAAAUACAAUUUAUCCGAAUGUAAUUUUCACACGAAUAUGUAAUAAUAUUGAACCUGCUUCGAAUGAAAGUUACUAAAUUUUACCCAACACAAAAAUCUUGCAGUAAACAAACUCAAUGCAAUCUCGACGUAUUGUGCAUCACGAGCCUCGCGGCCAUCACUAAUUUCAACUGGCACUGUUAGUGGCGCCAUCGCCUCUUUAGACGGAAGAACAAGGAACUGGACCAUUGCGCGCGCGAUAGUCGUGAAUAAUGGCGAAAUAUGUAAUCCAACGCCAUCAUUGCCAGGUGGUCCUAUUAAUAUAAAAUGCAU